AGACAGGGUUUGGGUGGUAAGGGAGUUCCAGCAAAUUAAUAGGAGUCCGGGAAGUUUUUGGGGGCUGGGGUCCAGUUGAGGAAGCCACAGGUUCCAGACUGUCAAGAGCUGCGCAGAUGAAGCUGAUGGGGCCUGGACCAUUAGUUAAGAGUCCGCUCCCCUCACCUCCGUGGUUUGGUUCAGUUUAAUGACCCACCCAGAAUGACCUAUUGCUGUCCUCGUCGGGAUCCAUCCUCUCUUAGGUGUUGGCGACCCCCGGGCCUAUCUCAGCCAGUCUGAAUAGGAAGGGAACCACGAGCCUGCCGAGCUCCCCUGACCUAGCCCUCCGCCCCGCCUUUUGUGUUUUAACCUUUUGUUUCUAUCGGCCACACCCGCCCAAAAGAGCGGCGGCUUUUCGUCUCUGUUCAGCGGGGAAGCAGCGAGGUUCCCUCCAGAUAGCGGUGAAGGGCGGCUUCCUAACUUUGUUUCCCAAGUCCCCUAACUUCGGAAUGCUUCUGCAUUGGUUCUUGCUCAGUGUCAUACCAGCGACUCCAAGAGUCAUGUCACCCACUUAGCAGGAGUACUUCUACUGAAAUGCCUUCGAAUUUCUCUUACUGGAUAUAUACCUACCAGCCGCUAGCAUGAAGAUGCCAGGACCGCUGCAAGUUAGCACUGGACAAAGUAGCAUCAACUUCUUCAUUUAGAGUUUCUUCAGUUAAAUUGCUGGGAUUUUCGACAAGGCUUUCCUUAUGUGGAUUAUUGGAGUGUGAUGCCCGAGAAUUCUCUACUUGUAGAAGCACGCCCACGGGACUGCAGAAGCCUUCACACCCACCCAGCACGCUCAGAUGGGAAUGAGUGAUGGCCAUCCAGUGACCAGCUGGAUCUGACUGCCUUACAAGACGCAUGUGUAUGAUUAAGAGAGAGACAUUCGUGACUCCCAGAUGUACCUCCUUCCUGUCCCACAGUGUUCCUGAAGGGAGUGAGUUAUGGGGUAACUUAUAACACAGCAGGCUCUUCCUCAAGAUAGCUCUUGUCAAAACAGGAAGACGAAACUCGGGUUUCCAUGAGGAGACCACAGCUUGGGAUCCUGUCUGGAUGUACAAGCAGAAGCAUCUUCAUACUUUUCCAUUUCUAACCAUCAUGCCUCACCCCACCCUCCCAAGGCGACAUCUGCAGAGAGGUGGAACCAUCUAGGGAGGCCUGCCACUGUUUGCUGAGCUCCGGGUGAGGAUGAAGACACUUUGACAUGGCCAGCUUCAGACUCGGGAUCUGUCGGUGUUAGCAGCCGAAGGAGAAUGAGGAGGAAGAGGAGGAGAAAGAGGAGGAGGAAGUAAGACAGAGGGGGACAAGAGGACCAAGAGGGCACAUGGCUGAGGAGGAGGAGAACAACAACAACAACAACAACAACAACAACAACAAGAAGCUUGGUGGUGAAACUUGGAAGCCCUCUCCAGGAUGCAGCAGGUAGCUGAGGAGAAAACGAAGACUGACCAGCCCAGAGCUCAGAGCUUCCUCCCAUGCUCAGGAUUUACCACCAAUGCCAUUACAUCGGCCUCUUCUUGUAUGCCUCUGGAAACCACAUGUGUCCUCUGUUUGUAAUGGUUUGGCUAUGGUUGCUGGCCCCUCUUGGACAUUGUUUUCAGAACUUAAAGAAACAUUGCUUUAAAGAUUUAUUAGAACAUAUUUAAAAUAAAACCAUCUUCUCAUUUA
rnacentral:lncRNA from 1 species